rnacentral:rRNA from 1 species
CCAACAGGGAUUCCCUUAGUAGGUGCGACCGAACCGGGAUGAGCCCAGCGCAUAACCUCGCUCGAGGGGUGUUGCGUUUCAGAGGGUCUAGCACACCAUCCACUGCUAAGUUUCCAUUUGAAGGUGUCCACUAACCAUGGAGGGUGAAAGUCCCGUAUGGCAGUCUGCAAGGAUAGAGCAUGGAUGGUGGAAAGGACCUUCUGUAGAGUCGGGUUGCUUGGUAUUGCAACCUAAAGCAGGUGGUAAACUCCAUCUAAGGCUAAAUAUUACCACGAGA